GGUCUCGCGGGAAGCUGUAGUAGUUUCAAGGCGGCAGGAGGGCGGUGGCUGCUUUAUGGUGAACCUGACAGGCUCGCUGCAAAGUCUCUGUCCGGAGUUUCCCCGUGUACCGUUAGCCCAGGCAGCGUAGAUAAGGCUUACAGAGGAGAGAUGUGGAAAGUGAGGAGCCAGGAAUUCACUAAAAGCACGUGAGAAACAGUGAGAGGACUGCACGGCCUUUGCUCCUUGUACACACUGUGCACGUCUUGAGGACGCGAGAUGAGUAAGACACGGCCCUUCGAGGGAGUCUCUGUCAGCUGGGCUGUGAGAAGAGUGAUAAAGGGCCCACAAAGAGGCUCACAGGAAACUUCCCAGUUGACUGGAAAAAAACACAACCGAAGCCCUGUCAGCGACUCUGGUGGUGGCUAAUCAAUCAAUCCUUGUAGAAUCGAAUGGUGGGCAACGUUCUUUGUUUUACACCAGGCUUCUGUUCCAGCUGCUGCUGAAGGGUAAAUCUGCUAGUCCCAUCCAGCAUCAAUCCAGAGGAAGGUAGAACACUGUUCCGCAGACACAAGCACCGGCACCGGCACAGACACACGAGGUUGCAAAGAGAGAAGGGAACACCUUUAGCUACAGAGAUCCACAAAGUGGGUACGCUGGUGGCCCUCGGUUUGGAGGCAUAUCAUAUCAGGUAAGGCUUUGGAAUCUAAUGUUGAUCCUAAUUCUGGGAGUGGAGGAUCCAUGGACUGACUAGA